rnacentral:lncRNA from 1 species
CGCCACCCCCAGCGCGCUCCCGAGGCCGUUCCCCGAGGAUGCGCGGGCCCGAGGGGAGGGCGACGCGGCCCGAGCGGCGCUUUCCUGGCCGCCUGGAGUCCGGGAACGGCGAAUCCCGCUCGCAGCGGACCGAGGCGAGGCGCAGCGGGACGGGAUCGGUGGGAACGGAAACAGCGGUCACCCGGAAGCCCAGAACCAGCGAGUGCGCGGUGCAGUGUUCGCUUCCCAAACGUUGUGGGACAAACGCCUUUCAACUGUUUCUGGACGCCCGUGGGCCGGCGUUACCCUGUUGAGACCAGCUGGGCAUUUUUGUGCAUGCACGACCUGCCUUCGCAAUGAUCUUAAGAUGUCACUGUAGCGUUUACAUCUUUUAUUUCAAGAUUUAAAUAACUAGGAAGUAGCUAAUGUAAUUCACUGCUGAGAAGAAAGGCGAGCUCCUCGAUUCCUUUCCAAAGCGAUCUCCUCCUAAUGAACUUCUCUGGACUAGGGAAGAGAGAAGCCCCUCCCAUUCGCUUCUACUGGGGCUUGUUAAGCCAUCGCCUUGGGGGCCGGCUGAUCAGCGGCAGCCAGCAGCCGGCGGCUUCGGCAGGCAGGAGCAAGGACAGCCUGUGGCUACUGCAGCCCCACUGCCCGGCCACACUUCAUGACGGGAGAGUGCCUUGGGAGGAAUGUAAAGGCAAACCGGACUGUACGAGAGGAAAAAAAGGUGCUUCAUAUCCCAACCAAAAGUAUUCUCUGUCUGAGGACCAUUGCCCAAGUGUGAAGUAG